rnacentral:rRNA from 1 species
AGUCGAACGGCAGCACGGACUUCGGUCUGGUGGCGAGUGGCGAACGGGUGAGUAAUGUAUCGGAACGUACCCAGUAGCGGGGGAUAACUACUCGAAAGAGUAGCUAAUACCGCAUACGCCCUUCGGGGGAAAGGGGGGGAUCUUCGGACCUCCCACUAUUGGAGCGGCUGAUAUCGGAUUAGCUAGUUGGUGAGGUAAAGGCUCACCAAGGCGACGAUCCGUAGCUGGUUUGAGAGGACGACCAGCCACACUGGAACUGAGACACGGUCCAGACUCCUACGGGAGGCAGCAGUGGGGAAUUUUGGACAAUGGGGGAAACCCUGAUCCAGCCAUUCCGCGUGUGUGAAGAAGGCCUUCGGGUUGUAAAGCACUUUUGGCGGGAAAGAAACGGCGUCGACUAAUACUCGGCGUAACUGACGGUACCCGCAGAAUAAGCACCGGCUAACUACGUGCCAGCAGCCGCGGUAAUACGUAGGGUGCAAGCGUUAAUCGGAAUUACUGGGCGUAAAGCGUGCGCAGGCGGUUCGGAAAGAAAGAUGUGAAAUCCCAGGGCUCAACCUUGGAACUGCAUUUUUAACUACCGGACUAGAGUAUGUCAGAGGGGGGUGGAAUUCCACGUGUAGCAGUGAAAUGCGUAGAUAUGUGGAGGAACACCGAUGGCGAAGGCAGCCCCCUGGGAUAAUACUGACGCUCAUGCACGAAAGCGUGGGGAGCAAACAGGAUUAGAUACCCUGGUAGUCCACGCCCUAAACGAUGUCAACUAGCUGUCGGGACCUUCGGGUUUUGGUAGCGCAGCUAACGCGUGAAGUUGACCGCCUGGGGAGUACGGUCGCAAGAUUAAAACUCAAAGGAAUUGACGGGGACCCGCACAAGCGGUGGAUGAUGUGGAUUAAUUCGAUGCAACGCGAAAAACCUUACCUACCCUUGACAUGUCUAGAAUCCCGGAGAGAUCUGGGAGUGCUCGAAAGAGAACUGGAACACAGGUGCUGCAUGGCCGUCGUCAGCUCGUGU